CAAUAGCGUAUAUUAAAGUUGUUGCAGUUAAAAAGCUCGUAGUUGAAUUUCUGGCGGGCGCGCCGGUCUUCCAAGUGUUGUACUGGGCGCAGUCCGCCAUCCUUGUGGAGAGGGCUCGCAUUGAGUUGCGUGUCGGAUCUGCAUCAUUUACUGUGAAAAAAUUAGAGUGUUUAAAGCAGGCUGUCGCUUGAAUACAUUAGCAUGGAAUAAUAAGAUAGGACUUCGGUCUAUUUUGUUGGUUGCGAACCGAGGUAAUGAUUAAUAGGGAUAGUUGGGGGUAUUCAUAUUUGGCAGUCAGAGGUGAAAUUCUUAGAUUUGCUGAAGAUGAACAACUGCGAAAGCAUUUACCAAGGAUGUUUUCAUUAA
rnacentral:rRNA from 1 species